rnacentral:rRNA from 1 species
GGAAGUGGGGAUGACGUCAAGUCCCAUGGCCCUUAUAUCCAGGGCUACACACGUGCUACAAUGGCCGGUACAAAGGGUCGCAAUACCGCGAGGUGGAGCUAAUCCCAAAAAGCCGGUCUCAGUUCGGAUUGGAGUCUGCAACUCGACUCCAUGAAGUCGGAAUCGCUAGUAAUCGCGUAUCAGCGUGACGCGGUGAAUACGUUCCCGGGCCUU